rnacentral:misc_RNA from 1 species
GAUGAAGAACGCAGCGAAAUGCGAUACGUAAUGUGAAUUGCAGAAUUCAGUGAAUCAUCGAGUCUUUGAACGCACAUUGCGCCCCCUGGUAUUCCGGGGGGCAUGCCAGUCCGAGCGUCAUUGCUGCCCUCAAGCACGGCUUGUGUGUUGGGCCUCCGUCCUCCUCCCGGGGGACGGGCCCGAAAGGCAGCGGCGGCACCGCGUCCGGUCCUCGAGCGUAUGGGGCUUCGUCACCCGCUCUUGUAGGCCCGGCCGGCGCUUGCCGACACAUCAAUCUUUUUUCCAGGUUGACCUCGGAUCAGGUAGGGAUACCCGCUGAACUUAAGCAUAUCAAUAAGCGGAGGA